GUGCUCACUUCGGCAGCACAUAUACUAAAAUUGGAACGAUACAGAGAUUAGCAUGGCCCCUGCGCAAGGAUGAUGAAUAAAGAUGCAGACCUACUAGAGAAUGGA